AUAACAGUGUCAACACAUCCAGGCAGUCGGUCAGGAGAACUGGCUGCUUAAUUUUUUCCUUUUUUUCUGUUGUUUUAUUUUUUUUGAAAGAAAGAGAAAAAAGAGAAGUCUCAUUUCCUGGUCUGUAGUGAUGCCAGAGAAAUCCCUCUCUCUCUCUCUCUUUCUUUCUGGGUUGUGCUGAACUGAACAACAUGGUGAUCCUUCAAAUCACAGAUCACCAGGGUUACAACACUUCCACAUGGUCUAGGACAUGACCUGUCACUGACUAGGACUAGCUACCUCCCCAACCAAAGAGAGGUUUAAAGGGACAACAUCAUUAUCAGGUCUGGCGAUCACACUGCAACAACAUGUAGUUUGGAUGUGUUCUGUUACUCUGAUCUCACAGGGUGAUAAUGGGGCUGACAUGGUUGCCUCCAUCUCCCAAAUCUGCUGUCCAUCUGCAGAGACAGAGAAGGGAAGGGUUGUUUCAGGUCAUAUACAUAUUUCAGGGUGAAUUACAACACCCUGUUGGACACAGCAAAAACAGGAACACAGUACAGGGAGAGGUUAUGUAAAACCAAUGGUUGAGCCAGCGUGGGAGAGGAUUCUCCGCUUUGUCACAGAACACAAUGCCUGGUUUCAACCUUCACAUCAUUGUCUGCCUGCCACUAACCCAUAGGCCAUAUGAUUAACACGCAAUAGGUUUUAGGAGACUCUUUGUGUCACAUAUAUUAUAUAUCUACUCUCACAACUUCCUCUUUCACCACUGCUCACCUACAGCCAGAGACAGCUACAGAUUUAUCAUGAAGUAAAACCAUUACCUGAACCUAUAUUUCCCAUAAUGUAUUGUAUUGAAAUCAUACAUAAAAUCACAUAUUUACUGCGUGUCAAGCAAUAUUGGAAUUAUUUUAGAGGUAAAGAAAAGUCUAUUCUAAAAAGGCACACUGCCGGAGAGCUUUGGUCCAAUGGUUGAUACGCACUGGUGAUCAUAAAUAGGCCAAACCUGUCUGGGUAUGAAGGGAUUUAGAGUAGAUACUACCCCACUUGUUUUACACCAUGUGAUGCGUACAGUAUACCAAUACUCUCACUGUAUACCAAAACUCUCAUAGUAUACUAUAGGACAUUGCUUUUUUGUACAAUAUUUUUCAAACAAUAUAAACCAUACAUAGACAAAAGAAAAUAGACCGACACACAAAAUCGAUGACAUGUAUAGAAUUUGUGAAAUUUGUCUCUUGUACAAUAAAUUGUGUACAUUCGUUUAUACUGGAUUAAAUGUACAUUUUCGUUAACUGUUAGUCAUGUUUCUGACACUCCCUCCAUCUUGUGCCAAUAUCAGUUAUUUUCAGGUCUUGGUUCCCAAAGUUUAUAAGAAAUUGUCAGUUGGAUAGGCCUUCUGCAACAUUGAGUAUAUCUUACCUGUCAUACGAGUACCCUUUUCUGACUCAAAUAAAAUUCCCUCAAAAUUG